GUAAAACGUAGGAGGCGAGCGUUAUCCGGAAUUACUGGGCGUAAAGCGCGUGCAGGCGGUUCGGUUAGUUGGAUGUGAAAGCUCCUGGCUUAACUGGGAGAGGUCGUUCAAUACUGCCGGACUUGAGAGUGGUAGAGGGAGAUGGAAUUCCGCAUGUAGUGGUGAAAUGCGUAGAUAUGCGGAGGAACACCAGUGGCGAAAGCGGUCUCCUGGCCCACUUCUGACGCUCAGACGCGAAAGCUAGGGUAGCAAACGGGAUUAGAGACCCCGGUAGUCCUAGCUGUAAACGAUGUUAACUUGGCGUCGGAGGCUUCAAAACCUUCGGUGCCGUAGCAAACGCGAUAAGUUAACCGCCUGAGGACUACGGCCGCAAGGUUAAAACUCAAAGGAAUUGACGGGUCCCCGCACAAGCAGCGGAGCGUGUGGUUUAAUUCGAUGCUACACGAAGAACCUUACCAAGGCUUGACAUGCAAGUAGUAGGAAACCGAAAGGCAACCGAUCCUUCGGGAAGCUUGCACAGGUGCUGCAUGGCUGUCGUCAGCUCGUGUCGUGAGAUGUUCGGUUAAGUCCGCUAACGAGCGCAACCCUCACUGUGUGUUAUACGUGUCACAUGGGACUGCCUGUCUUAAACAGGAGGAAGGUGGGGAUGACGUCAAGUCAGCAUGGCCUUUAUACCUUGGGCUACACACACGCUACAAUGGCCAACACAAUAGGUAGCCAACCCGCGAGGGGGAGCCAAUCCUUAAAGUUGGUCUCAGUUCAGAUUGUAGGCUGCAACUCGCCUGCAUGAAGACGGAGUUGCUAGUAACCGCAGGUCAGCUAUACUGCGGUGAAUACGUUCCCGGGGAUUGUACACACCGCCCGUCACGUCAUGGGGGUUGGCAACACCUGAAGCCGGUAUCCUAACCGCAAGGAAGGAGCUGUCGAGGGUGGGGUCGAUGACUGGGACGAAGUCGUAACAAGGUAGCC
rnacentral:rRNA from 1 species